rnacentral:rRNA from 1 species
CUCCAGACUCCUACGGGAGGCAGCAGUGGGGGAUAUUGCACAAUGGGGGAAACCCUGAUGCAGCGACGCCGCGUGAGUGAGGAAGUAUUUCGGUAUGUAAAGCUCUAUCAGCAGGGAAGAAAAUGACGGUACCUGACUAAGAAGCCCCGGCUAACUACGUGCCAGCAGCCGCGGUAAUACGUAGGGGGCAAGCGUUAUCCGGAUUCACUGGGUGUAAAGGGGGCGCAGACGGCAGCGCAAGCCAGGAGUGAAAGCCCGGGGCCCAACCCCGGGACUGCUCUUGGAACUGCGCGGCUGGAGUGCAGGAGGGGCAGGCGGAAUUCCUGGUGUAGCGGUGAAAUGCGUAGAUAUCAGGAGGAACACCGGUGGCGAAGGCGGCCUGCUGGACUGCGACUGACGUUGAGGCCCGAAAGCGUGGGGAGCAAACAGGAUUAGAUACCCCCGUACUG